UACGUAGGGUGCGAGCGUUAGUCGGAAUUACUGGGCGUAAAGUGUGCGCAGGCGGCGCCGCAAGUCGAGUGUGAAAGCCCCGAGCUUAACUUGGGAAUUGCGCUCGAAACUAUGGUGCUGGAGUGUGGCAGAGGAAGGUGGAAUUCCACGUGUAGCGGUGAAAUGCGUAGAGAUGUGGAGGAACACCGAUGGCGAAGGCAGCCUUCUGGGCCAACACUGACGCUCAUGCACGAAAGCGUGGGGAGCAAACAGG
rnacentral:rRNA from 1 species